rnacentral:rRNA from 1 species
GAUGAACGCUGGCGGCGUGCUUAACACAUGCAAGUCGAACGGAAAGGCUCCUGCUUGCAGGGGUACUCGAGUGGCGAACGGGUGAGUAACACGUGGGUGAUCUGCCCUGCACUUCGGGAUAAGCCUGGGAAACUGGGUCUAAUACCGGAUAGGACGAUGGUUUGGAUGCCAUUGUGGAAAGUUUUUCGGUGUGGGAUGAGCUCGCGGCCUAUCAGCUUGUUGGUGGGGUAAUGGCCUACCAAGGCGUCGACGGGUAGCCGGCCUGAGAGGGUGUACGGCCACCUUGGGACUGAGAGACGGCGCAGACGCCUACGGGAGGCAGCAGUGGGGAAUAUUGCACAAUGGGCGCAAGCCUGAUGCAGCGACGUCGCGUGGGGGAUGACGGCCUUCGGGUUGUAAACUCCUUUCGCUAGGGACGAAGCGCAAGUGACGGUACCUGGAGAAGAAGCACCGGCUAACUACGUG